CCUGUCGCUCAUUUUAGAGGAAGUCCAAAGUCAUGAUGCGAAAAGCAUUAGAAUCACUCAAACUCUUAUAUUUAACAUUGCUGAUCUGCACUAAUUUUCCCCAUAUUUGCAUUUCCAGUAACUUCAAAUUAGAAUUAGAAAGCAUUAGACAAUAAUGUUGUUUUAAAUAUAAAAUAUGUUCCAGUACAUUUCUACAAAUUCAUCUGGUAUUUGGCUGACAUUUGGUUUGGUCAUAUACUUAUUGCAAAAUUAUGCAAUGACUGAGAAUCAUUAAUAGAGAACAUUGAAAUUCCAUCUACUCUACUAUUAAUAACCAGUGAAGCAGCACCCUUUCAAGUUACUAUUAUUGAUUGCUGCAGGUGUUCUUCCAAUUGUUUUCUGCUUACAAAGUUUAGUUUGGGCUUGUAAAUAGACUACAUACUCAGAAACAUCUGCAUGACUCUGCAAUACUGUGUCUGAACUCUAUUUGGAAGUACAAUUGCUGUACAGGUCAAAUCACCACUUUCCAAGUCUAUUACUUUUUCUGCUUGUUUGUUCAUAGAAAACUAGGUGACUAAAUCCAAGCAAAUCAUGUUGAAGUUGGAGCAACAGCUGAUCUUAUGGUUAUUAUUGCAAAGGAGAGAGAGCGAUGAGGUUGGAGGAGAUGAGAUGUGCAGCUGCUGAAUCAGUCUAGGCAGAGGACAGGGUUACUGGAAAUGUUAUGAAUGCAGGAAAUAGGAUGCUACCCAGCUGACCAAUCACUGGGCUUGCAGCUUGCAUUGUUUUGAAGCAUGGUCUUAUUUUUGCAGCAGGCUUCUCGUCUUGGUUUCUGCACAAACUUGUCAUGUACUCAACUGAGUGUGUGUAUUCAACGCUGUAAUUCAACGUCAAAUCACACACUGGGACAUCAAUAUUACAAUCAAACAUCAACACAAUGUUCUGUUGUCAUCUAAAAAACUACAAACUCUCAUAUCACGGGCACGUUUAUUAGUAUUUCAAGCGUUUUUCUCCAGUGGCAAUAAUUACUACAAUCUCAAAAAAGAUGGUACAGCUGUAUUCACAUCUUCAAGAAAUUUUGGAAAACCUUCUGAAAAUUUUCAAGGUGGGCUGCACGAGUGAAAUAUCAACUUUUCACAUCUGCAUAUCUAUCUGUUUGCAAUUAACAAACAUGAAUGUAUCAGUUACGCCUUUCCGGGUGCAGUGCGUAAGUACAAAGCCAUAAUGAUGGUGGAGUGCCAUCCAAGCACUGUUUCAGGAUUGUAGUGUUUAAGAGGCUUAAGUCUAGCUAAUGUUAGCUAGGGAUUAUGCCAUGUCACCAUUAGCUUGUAAGCUUCAUAAGAUAGCUACGCUACUUACAUUAUUUAUGUAUCAAAUGCUGCAUCUCUUUGAUAGAUGUCUUGUAUAGAGAUGCACCGAUCCAUUUUUUUCCUGAUCCAAUCUUAUACCGAUACCUGGGCUGAGUGUAUCGGCUGAUAUCCGAUACUGAUCCAGUACUACUGUUGAAUGAAUGAACUGUAUACCUUGCUCUGUGAGUUAAGGCAUCAGCCCUGUUAAAAAAAAAAAAGUUACAAAUAAAGACAGAUAUAAAUUUGCUUAAUAUUAUUUAUGAACAAAUUGCACAUUAGCACAUAGCAAAAAGAAGUAACACUUUCAUGUACUAAAAGAAAAAUUAAUUAAAAGAAAAAAAAGACUGGAUCGGAACUCUGGAUUGGCGUCAUUCAUCAGAUAUCCGAUCCAGCUAUUUUGUCAAUAUCGGAGUUGAUAUCUGAUUCAAACAUCUGAUCGGUGCAUUCCUAGUCUUGCACCCACACACUUGGAGCUAACCAACAUUUAAAGUCAAAAGUUUUAAUGCAGAGCUCGGGUUUCUAUCGAGCUAAAUCUGUGAGAAAUCAAUGAUUGUUUUAGACAGUGAACCUGACCGGCAUCACUUUCACUCGGUCCUGGCAUCUAAAUCUCAUCCCUGAACACUGACUGGGAAUGAUCUCACUGGGAACAUAAUUCAUCUAACCAAAGUGAGUGUCGCAGAUGACCAAUGAGACUGAAGUCACAUCUCUUCAGAACUUCCCAAAAACGCACCUGCAGGCACAAAAACUGUCAGUGAAACACAAGCAUUUGUCCUGUCGAGCUAGAGACUGUGCAACCAGCACAAAUGCAAUAAUUACGACUGGCAAAAUGACAUUUUAGACUAAUAAAUAAAAUGCCUCACCAUACAACAGGACCACUCAGACUCAGUGCCAACGACUCCAUGCAGAACUAAGGCAGUGACACCCUGAGUCUCUCUGUUGAUGUACACUGACACAAUGCUGAGUUUAUUUUCUGUCAACAGUCUUUCUUUGGACAGGUUAAGCAUUAAUCUCAUUAAAAAUUGAACCUGUGAGUUGCUUUUUAACAAAAAAUCAUACUUAUGGAAACUGCAGCAGGUCCUCAUUUUGUUUAUCUUAUACUGAGAAACCAUGACACUUUCUCUCUUUGAGCAUCGUCACAGUGAAUGGACAGAUAGAUGCUUCAGCUCCACGCCUCUAGCAUCUUGUUGUCUGUUGAAGCCCUGAUGUUCCCAUGAUUUUUUAGCUUGGUAGUUAAAUUUUUCACAUACUGGAUUUAUUCACAGUAACCUCAGGCUUUGAGAGGAGACUCUGGGUCAGGCUGGAGGCCGAGAAAGCAAAGACAGAAAUAAUAGUGAAUAGAAAGGAAGAGGCUAAAUGUAAGUCAACCCCUCUGGCUGGAGCUGAUCUGAUCAGUGUAGAGUUGACCUUUGACCUCCAAGCUGGGCCUAAAAAGCGUGGUCUAACACACACUUCCCUUUUCUCCUCAAUGUGGGGAUCACAUGACUCCCUGGUCGGCCAUGCCAGGACCGCGUGAUGCUGCUGCAGAUGUGGAGGAGAAAAAAAAGAAGAAGAAGAAGGGGGGCGGACAAAAAUUAUAAAUGGAAGAAAAGAAGUUUUUAAUGAAAGAUUGGACGUGGAACAAGGGCUGGGGGGUGACAGAGAGAACAAGUGAACGCGUCAGCAGACAGAGAGGAGGGGGACCCGGGCUGGGGGGGUCACAAAGCUAGCUUUGUUUCUGAUCUGGCUGCAGCAUUAGCAGCUGCAAAAAAAAAAAAAAAAAAAAAAAAAAGCUCAGAGAGGAGAGGAUGGAUGCGCAGUGGCGUGGGGGCAUGACUUUUAAGAGAUGUCUCUGUUUGUCACUUUAGCGCGCUGCGGUUUAAUGCUGCCUCGUAGAAUAUGCACACACACACCAUAACUCACGGACAGAGAUGAAGACCUACAUGGCCGUCCGAGAUAAAGAGACCACUGUGUCCAGUGAUGUAACGCCCUUUUAUGACUGAUAUGCAUUACAGUAUAAGGGCUGAGAUGAAAGAAUUUAGAGCCAUUUCCCAUGAUGCUUUGCUCUCUUUGCCCACUCCUUUGUGGCAGUUUCAGUUAUGCAGCUAUGUUCACCUAAGGGGUCACUGGGCCUCUAUAAACAUAUGUGUGUGUAUAUGUGUGUGUGUGUUUCCAUGCAGGCUGCUACGUGUGUGUGUGCGCAGCCUCCGGGGCAAACAGCGUCCGUUCUCCAAAAGUCACAUGACUGUGCAAACUGCUAAAAAGCGGCACCAUCUUCAGGUCCGGUGGCACCUUGAAGUGUUUUCCAGUUGCCAAGAAGAGGAGCAGGCCUUCAAAUUGGAACCAGAGACAGGUUUAGCAUCUGAUUCUUAACCUGUCACAGCUGUGUCACACACACACACACACACACACACACACACACACACACACACACACACACACACACACACACACACACACACACACGCAUAUAUCAGGGGUCCACACGCACACACAUGCAGUGUCUAAAGUGGGUUAAGAGUGAGCAACUGUAUUACACCACAGCAAAUGAGAAGCAUCACAUACAGAAUCUCCAACAUUUGUCCACGUUUAUCAAUAACCGCCAUAUGUGUGCAACAUAACGCACGGCUUAAGAGGCUUGUCACAUGCCAAAUGUUCCACAGGACGAGUAUUGUGUUUUUCCACAGCUGCUGGGGUUUGUAAUGACUCUUACAGAUGUUUCCUGAGUAAAUGUGUUUACUGCAUAAUCACAUUGAGAAUGAUAGUUUGGUAAACAACGCAGAAUAUCAUAUUAUAGAAAAGUACAAUAAAAAAAAAAAGUUUGGCAUGAAUACAUAACUUGGUUUUAGCAGGUGUUGCAUGUACGUAAUUCACUCUACUUGAAGGAACCCAAACCACCUUAAAGCUUUGAUAGUAUCUCACUAAAGGUGUGUUUAGCCAACACAAGCAGAGUGCUGAGCAGAGAAAGGUUUCAGCCUUAAACCGUCGAUGUUUGGGAUCCUUCUAAUGAGGGAAGAGGAGGGUUGUGUUUCAGGCUGCAGGCGACGGUUUGAAUGCAGCAGAACUGUCCUUCAUCAGGGCUGAAGUAGACAGAUGAGUGAGUGCGUGGAUGGCGUCUCUUUAACUGGUCAGCAGAGGGCCAGUUUGUGUUUACAGCAGAGGUUUCGGUUGAAAGACGGGGACCAGGAGUGUCACAGCUACAAUGGCAAAAACACCGGAGGGUUUCAAGAAGAAGGAUGUUGUUUAUCUUUAUGUUAAAUCACUUUUUAUUUAUCACUUUAGACUUCAGUUCACCUUGGUUCCUAUUUUUCACUCUUUUUCUGUUCUUAUGGUAAUGCACCAAACCACCAAGAGUCUAUUUGAUGAUAAAACUCUUCUUGAAACUUAAGAUUAUGGACGCUUUUUUGGAUUUGAAGUUGCUCUUAAUGUUUAAGAAUUGCAGGCAUAUGCCAGAUCGGCUGCUGUGUAUAUUUUUGAGUUUUUGGCAUUAACUUGUUGAUUUCAAUAAGGUUCAAAUUAACAUCUACCUUUUUUUAAAAAACGUGUGAUUUUCUCCUUCCUGUGUACAUUGAAGUUAAGCUGCUGCAGUGUCUUCCUGCUUCCUGCUGCCACAGAGAGAAAAAUAACACUGCUGUGCUUUUUUAAAGACACAUUUCUCCACUGCCCACAAUCUAAGCAUACAGGUGCAGAAACCCUGUCACAAAAGCCAGUAGAUACUGCUUUUAUCUUUUGACUGCAUGAAUCACAGGAGACCUCGAAGACCUUUAUGACAGCACAGGCCAAAUGGGUGUCAACUACUGGCAGAAAGAGUUUGCUCUUAUUCUUCACAUACUGUAAAAAGUUAGUCACAGUAACUCACAGUUCAUUAGUUUGAGUAAAAGUUCGUGUACGGUUGAAAUGACACAUCCAAAGCCUAAAAAAAAACUAAAAAAAUUAGGAAAAUGAGUCAAAAGAUGCAAAUUAUAAUUAAAUUGGACCAGAUAUACAUUUUUUAAUUAAAUGUCAUUAUAUCCCGGAUAUGCCACACAUCCAGGAUAUCUUUGAAUAGCAUCACUGUACAGCUGCCAAUGUAGAAAAAAACUCUAUAAAUACAAGUACAGCACAAACAAGUCUGAAAUGAUCUAAAGUUAUCCCAACACAUCAUCUUUCAUCCAGUGAAAAUCUUGAUGCUGCCUGCUUACUAAUUUUUUUGGGCUCUUUUUACACUGUAUAAUAAAAAUACAACAACUACUUGUACUAAUAAUCAUAAUAAUCACAUAAACCCAUCUCCUACCUCUCAGUCAUGGUUUCAGACUGCACUGGUGAGGCAGAGCAGCAUUUAUUUGAUCAAUAAAUCUUUGAGUCCAGAUCAUAAACCGCAUUUCUCUCUGUUCAAAUGAACUACAUGCACUUAAAAACAGCUUUGAAACGCAACAUACAGGGGAUCCGACAUGCCAUAAAAAUGAGAAUAACUAUUGAAAUCAAGGGACUCAUCCUGGUGAGUGAAUUGAGGGUAAUAAGUUGUAUUCAUAAAAACAAAAAGGAAGUUUUUGUAGUUGGUCUUUCUGAGGAUAAUCUGAAAAAUAUUGAAAUCACAGACACAGGAUUGAGAAAAUUCAAAGGACACAAUGUUUGACUAAUCCUUCUUAAAAGUGCCAAAAUACAUGAAAAAAUUCUGCCACUGUGUUUAAAUUCAGUGCAAAUUGGCUGUCACCUCAGGAGGAAACAGCCCGUGUUGAAUAAUCUGGAUUAAAAUCUUAAUACAAAAUAUUGUACUUCAGCCAGACUCCAAUCAAAGUGUAAUUUAGGGUUUGACUAACAGCAAAACCCACAAAGCAA
rnacentral:lncRNA from 1 species